rnacentral:rRNA from 1 species
AUACGUAGGGGGCGAGCGUUGUCCGGAAUGAUUGGGCGUAAAGAGCUCGUAGGUGGUUUGUCGCGUCGUCUGUGAAAUUCCGGGGCUUAACUCCGGGCGUGCAGGCGAUACGGGCAUAACUUGAGUACUGUAGGGGAGACUGGAAUUCCUGGUGUAGCGGUGAAAUGCGCAGAUAUCAGGAGGAACACCGAUGGCGAAGGCGGGUCUCGGGGCAGUAACUGACGCUGAGGAGCGAAAGCAUGGGUAGCGAACAGGAUUAGAUACCCUGGUAGUCCAUGCCGUAAACGGUGGGCGCUAGGUGUAGGGGUCUUCCACGACUUCUGUGCCGUAGCUAACGCAUUAAGCGCCCCGCCUGGGGAGUACGGCCGCAAGGCUAAAACUCAAAGGAAUUGACGGGG